GACGAACGCUGGCGGCGUGCUUAACACAUGCAAGUCGAACGGUAAGGCCCUUCGGGGUACACGAGUGGCGAACGGGUGAGUAACGCGUGAGUAACCUGCCCUUCACUCUGGGAUAACAGUUGGAAACGGCUGCUAAUACCGGAUAUUCAGCUCCUGUCGCAUGGUGGGGGGUGGAAAGUUUUGGUGGUGGAGGAUGGGCUCGCGUCCUAUCAGCUUGUUGGUGGGGUGAUGGCCUACCAAGGCGUCGACGGGUAGCCGGCCUGAGAGGGCGACCGGCCACAUUGGGACUGAGAUACGGCCCAAACUCCUACGGGAGGCAGCAGUGGGGAAUAUUGCACAAUGGGCGGAAGCCUGAUGCAGCAACGCCGCGUGCGGGAUGACGGCCUUCGGGUUGUAAACCGCUUUCAGCAGGGACGAAGCGCAAGUGACGGUACCUGCAGAAGAAGCACCGGCUAACUACGUG
rnacentral:rRNA from 1 species